UAAAAGCAUUGAAACUUGUGAUCAUUAAGUGCACCAUUAUACAGGAGUAACAUGCUCUGAGUGAAGAUGUUCUACUAUUUCAAUAAUCUGUCUUUAUUAAAAAGACAAAAAAAAAUCCUGUUAGGAUACUACUCGAAACAGAAAAGCAAUGUUGACUGUACUCCGUUCAGCUUGCCUCAAGUUUCAAAUUGGGAAUAUUCCAACAAGUAGCACCUGUUUGCCUCUUCAUGAUUGUGUUGCAGAAAUGUUCAGCCAUGAUAAUUUGCAUAAGUCCUCCAUUUUCUUUCUUUAUUUUUUAAAAAAGGUGAAUUUUACACUCUUCUUCUCUUCUUCCUCUGUUAAAAAUGAUUUGAUACUUUAGGUAAACUUGGUUCUGAGCAGCAAGGGGCUGGGGUUGGAGUAUUUUCCUUUUCCUUUCACAAGUCAGAGCUUGGUUUAGUGUUGGCAGUAGUGACAAGUACCAAUUGUUUGUAUGUUUUCAAGUCUCCAGAGUCUAAAAGAUAUUCCUUGAAAGCCUGCCACAGUGCCCAGUUUCUUGUUCUCCUGAGGGGCAGCAAAUGCUAACUCCAAGAGUGAUUGCGGGAAGGGGAGGAACAAGAAAAAUGCCCCAAUUUGUACCAAUGAAGAACUUCAAGUA